AAGUAGUCAUAUAUAAUAAUAGUUAUAUAUGUUCGCUCUUGUAUUCUGAUAGGUAAAACCCUCAUUAGGUAAAUGCAUUCAAGCAUUCAUUUACGUUUGCGCCACAAACAGCAGCUCACACACUGUGCUGCAGCUGAGGAAUCUGGACGUUUGUUUCGCAACAAAAGAGCAGCGGCUGGAAUGUUCCAUGUCGAACGAUGCUAUGUCAAUAAAUAGAAAUGGCGCUCUUGCUGAGCUCAUGGUCUACAUGAACCGGUUUUGUUUCCCAAAUGUGUUCUCAAAAAAGCAGAGUUACGUUUUACUGAAUCUAUCCUAGAAGGGGUGUAUAACAAUCUCACUCUUGUAGCGUAGAAAUGAUUUAUUAAACCAGAUUUUGGCAAAUAAUUCUUUCCUUGUUGUUACUGCUCCCCCCCCAGUCCACGUAACAAAAUGGUACAUCCUUCAUCUUCUUACCAUAUUGGGAGAAUAUCUGGCCUCCCAGCAUCAGCGGACUGUUCCAAGUAACAGAAAGAGGGGAACUUGGUUGUUGAUUACAAGAGCCCUAGCUGUAUUGAAAUGGCUGACAGACGUGAGAGAUGGGAGGAGGAACGUUGUUUUGUGUGACUCCUUUCUGCUACAGGGAAAGGGCAUUUGCAACGUAUAUGAUUCUUAAUGAACCCCGACUGAGAACGUAUUCAAAGGCAGGCUAACGUCGGUUUUCAGUAGGACGAGCCGGGAAACCACAGGAUGUUUUAUUCGUGGAUAAAUAACCACCUUGUAUGGUAUUUCUCUUAUCAGCUUUAUACAGGAGGACAUUAUGCAACGAAGAAAGUAUGUCCAGGGAUUUGUAGGGUUUCUCGGGUCACUGUAGGUUUAAAGCCAUCCAGACAGAAGCCCUUCACACCUCUUGCUGCAGUACCAGCUUUAACUCUUUAAGUCUCCAUGGUGUUUUUUUAAGCAACAUUUAAAACCCGUUCUAUUCAUAGGGAGAUGUAAAUAACCAAUUUGCACUUAGGCAGAGCAGCAGGACAAGUUGAAUAGGCAGUGUGAAUCUCUGUCAAGUGCUGGAAGGAUGUCCUUAACUCCUGAACUGGCUGGAAAAGAAGAAAACCAUGACUGUGAGGCUUCAUGUAGAUUUUACAUUGCAUGCUAAGCAAGCCAGUCAUGCUUAUUUAUUAACAUUGAGCUAAUAAGAACCUGGGCAGUAACCAUAGCAACCAAUCAAUGAGUGUUUUUGUUCCACCAUCUGCAGGUAGAAAAGUUAAUUUGUUACAGUGAGUUACUACUCAGAUUCAGAUUUUCCCUGUAUUGGCAAAUGAGCUGGGCAUUUACCUCAUGUCAAUGCAAUGUGCCUCAGGGCAAUGUGUUUUGCUAUUCACCAGAACGUGUGAGAGAAAGGGUAGAACUCCCAAUGUGCAACUAGCCAACUGGAAAAUAAAAUGGCAAAUAAUAAGCAAA